AAUGCCCCCCCGGCAAAGACAAAACAAAGACGGCCGCCAGCAACAGGACACAGGAACAACCUUAAGGAGCGGUAGCUGUGCAUGACUAGACGAAAAGGCAGUUAUCAGGGAUCAUCCAUAAUAACUAUUAACCUCGGCGGCUCUUCGAGACCGGCCGACAGCGGCCCGCUCGCGGCCCACCAACCACCGACCAAGAGAGUCCGAAAGUGAAGACAAGAGGACACCUUCCCCUUCCCACCUCCCCCCACCUCACUCCCCUCUUCUUCCGAGUCCUUUCUCCGGCAGCAUCAGUAGAGUCCACCUCGCCCCGCCAGACCAAACCGACAUCUCAGAAGAGUUGUAAAAAGAAAAAAAAGCCUUAAGACAGUGAUGUUUGUCGAUCUACACAUCAUCCCCUCCUCCUCUCCUCUUUUCUCUUCGAUUUCUCCCACAUGUACAUAAAAACACACAUACUGUAUGUACUCAACACAAACAUGACUUCUUUGCGGGAUGUAAUGACUUGCACACGCUGACAAACUGUGGAAGAAGGCGGACGGACGGACGGACGGACGCUGGCUGGAUUGUAAUUCUUUUAAAUGUCGUCUUUCGUUGUGAAUGGCAGGAUUUUUCGAGCUCGCUCUGUGACGUUUCUGCCCAUUAAAGUACGAUAACGGGGGUGAUGAUUACAUAAAUGAAUGAUCUAUUCUGUUGUACAGAUUAAAUAAUGUUCCGUAUGUACAAAAAAAAAGUGUAGUUGUGACAUUUAUAUGUUUUAGAGUUGUGUUUGCCAUAUUUAGUUUUGUAUUCCUGUAAAGGCUCGGUCACACCAGCGUUUAAAAAAAAUGUGCAAAUGUUUCGUGAACGUUUCGUCUGUGGGUGCUUAAAAUGAGCACGCUAUCGUAAAAGAACCUGUGAAAGAAAAACUACAAACUUACUGUCACUCGUUAGCAUGUAGACCGCCCUAAAUGCCGAGGACGUAAACAUCAAAGUACGGACGAAACAAAAAGAAGCUCUGAGAUAUUUUGACUGAAGAAAAUCUGUAAAUAUUCGGACCCGCAAAUUUACAUCGUUGACAAUGCUACUCAAGCUUUCGUAGUUUGUUUUUUCUCCGUAAAAAAAGAAUGGUUUGUUUACGAGACGUAAAUGAACUCAGUGUCCUGGAUAAGUUUCCGUUAGUCCCUAAAAUGCCGGUACGGAGUACGGAGAAAACAGAAAGAAGCUCUGAGAUAUUUUCACUGAAUAACGUUAGCACGUUAGGACGCCGCCAAAGCUUUGAGAACGGUUUCUCGAAGACGCACAGAUGAAUUUUGUUCUGGUGUGUCCAGGCCUCGUCUACGAAAUGUCUCCUGAAGGCCAGGUCGCACCAGCGUUUAACAAAUGAAUUAAUUCCAAUGGAAUCGCUGCGAUGACUGGAUUCACAUGUGAGGCUUUAAAAUCUGUGCAAAUGUUUCGUGAACGUUUCAUCUGCGGCAAACUCAGACACGUGACAGUGGUGCUAUCGUAGCUUAUUACACUCGAGGAACGGUUUUGGAUAAACUGUGAACAAGCUCAAAACACGAGACGGAGUUAACGUCCGAGAAAACGAAGAAAGAUGCUCAGAGAUAUUUUGACUGAAUAACGUUAGCAUGUUCCAGCUAGGUAACGUGUUAUCUCACCAGCUAACGAGACGCACAGAUGAACUUUUUGUUUCUGGUGUGACCGAGACUCGUCUACGAAAUGUCUUUAACUUUUUUUUUUUUUGCACUUUUGACGAGUGAAUCAGAUUCAGGUUCUGUUUGUUCACGUCAGCGCGUUUUUAAUUUCCGUUAAAGUUAUUUUUUACGAUAUUGAACUGCUGUGUAUAUUUUUGUACUUUGUCAUUUUUUUUGUUGUUAAUUUAUUCUGUUAUUUAUAUGAAAGAUGUAGAGAAUGUUUCUUAACGUCAAAUUAUUUAAGGAUAUUUUUGUCGUGUUUUUUAAGUUAUUCGAUCACCGAGAAAUCUCGAAAUGUUUGCGCGAGCGUUGCAUUCCUUUUUCCCGGGGCUUUGUUUUGUUUUUUUGACGAAAGAAACCUUGUAAUAUACGUUUGGAAAAUGAUUUACCGUAAUUUAAGAAUGUAGACUUAGCCUCUCUCCGAGAGGGACGAACCCUUUGUUGAAACUUGUCGGCUCCUUCUUCCCCCGCCCGCCGUGCGUAUGAUGACUCAGAUCUCAAACACUCAUUCUGUAAAUAAGCCGAGUUUACUGACACGCUUAUUUAAAAAACCGAGGGGAUUCCUACUCUUAGCUUUGACCUCGUACGGUUGUUUGCAUGUUCAGCAUUCGUCUUUUCUUUGCAUGUCGUCGUUGGACUUGUUCUCCUGUUACCUUUUUCUCUCCACACUUAUUUAUGUAUUUAUUUAUGUUCUUCACGUGCUUUUGUUUUAAUUUGCCUUCUGAUUUUUUUGGGGGGGAAAAUUUGAUUUCUUUCGCCGUCUUUUUGAUUACUGUGUCCACACAGUAACCGUGCAAUGCAUCCUCCUUACUCAUUCUCUCAAAGAGGGACCUCUCUGGCGAUCGGGUUUGCUCACCAGCUCGGGUGGGUGUUGGGUUAUCAGAGAGAAAAAUUUAAAGCAAUACCUUUCAUUGUUCGCUUUCCUCUUUUUCUACUGGGGGAAUCCAGAGCACACAGAACGGACUCGGAGCACGGAGCGCUACUACUGAGCAGGAUAACCACUGGCAAUGUAUUCCCUUGUGAUGUUACUGUGAACAACUUCAGUGCUAAAGGAAAUAAAUCUGUUGACUUUGGA